rnacentral:lncRNA from 1 species
GUAGCAGGAGGGCAGUCUUUGCAGGGAGAAGGCAGAAGCCAGGUAAUUCCUGACUUUGAUCUCCCUCCUGCUCCCUAAGGCCCUAAAUCAUCGUUUUGCAUAAGAUUCAGAGUCAGGACUUGAGGGGAGGGCAAGGAUUCAGAAGAGUCUAAGAGAGGCCUGCUGCUGCAGGGUCGCCGUCCCCCUGGCCACGCUGAUCCAGCCACUGCAGGCCACACUGCUGUGCUUCUUCCUGAGAGCUGAUUUCAGAACACUACCCUGACCCUCAUCAUCCACCUAAGUGGGUCCCAGAUAAUCCUGACUCUAAAGCCCUUAGCAGGAAGCCUUGUUCCUCCAGGUUUGGCAUAUUUGGUUUGAGAACUGGACGGCAUGCAGGGUUGAGGUCCAGAGAGAGAUAAUGGCUUCAGCAGGCUUCGGGGCCACUGUCCACCCUUCUCUAGCUGUGGGACCUGGGCUAGGGAGAAAAGCAAGCCCACAGUGGGGAACUUGAGGGCUCCCACUAGGGCUUCCCUGAGGGGUGGCCUUGAGGGUAUCAGAGCAGACCUGAGCUGGAGAGGAGCCCUGGCAGACCUCCUGGGAACCUCUGCUGCUGUAACCUCUGAGCAUUCUGCCCUAGGCUCUGCAGAUGUCUGCAAUUCCAAGCCACCUCUUGGUUCACCUCAGCCAGGAAGGACAAGGGCAAGGAGACAUGCAGGGGUCAGGGGUCAGGACAACCUCCUGCUGAGCCUCCUCAAGCUGCCAUCAGCAGGGGCUUGGAGCCUGCUGCAGGCCUGGAGCCCAGGCCUCCUUGGCCCGGUGGGAAUCUCAGUCUGGGCAUCAGAUUCUGCGACCUGCUGUUGUUGGGCAAGUCUGGUGCUUGGUUCUUGUGCUCCCAAGGGCCACGGCUCUCUCCUGCCCUCUCCUGCCCUCUCCCUGCCCCCAGGUGUUGAAGGUCAAGAGGGGGGAGGGGGCAAGACAGGCUCUCAUUCUGGUGGCAACUCCGAGGCGAGGCUGGAGAAGGAGGAGACAGGGCUGGAGAGGAGUUAAUCUUUGAUGAUCAGAUAGGCAGGGGUGAAUGAUUAACUGCUGCUGUCUUAAAGGUCAGCAGAGGCCGGGAGGCCGAGCCACCGCCACCUCCCCUCUGACCAGCAGUGUUGUUGUUUUUUUCGAUGGUCCAGGUUCCCCCUAUUAUUACAGUUCCACCUCGAGGCCGAGCGUGCCGCCCACCUCUGCCACGGCCUUUGACCAUCUGUAAUUGCCAUGGGGACAGUGGGAGCGACCAGGCAGCAGGAGGACUCGGCCUGGGACAGGCCCCAGAGAGUCAUACAAAGGAAUCUUUAUUUAUUACAUGAAAAAUAACCACAAGUCCAGCUUCAUGGCUCACUCCCCGUGUGGUUAAUGUAAUCAACCGUGAAAGACGGGAUGACCUUGGAGAAGGCCAAACUGUCCUCCAGGACUCCUUAAUGGGGGCAGGAGUUCAAGGGAAAGAGGACCAUCCCAUUCCAAAAGACAGAAUUGGAGAAGAAAUGUUCCCUGGCUGCUAGCCACCAAAGGAGAGAAGCAAGCGCCCCAGGACCUGGAGGGGGUACAGGUGGGCCUGCCGGCCCGCAUGGGCACAAGGCACUCGCAUGGCUCAUCAACACAGCUUAGCAGAGGUGGACUGUAGGCAAGUCCUUCCGCCCACAGGUCACAGCCUGGUGCCAAGGCUCGACCCGACAGGCACCCUGACCCCUCCCUCAGCCUCCACCACUGCUGGCUCUUCCUGCUGUGUCUCCCGGGCACGGGCUGAGGGCUGCUAGUCUGUCACCCCCCUGCAUUGCCAGAUGACCCCCACUCCACCUGCUGCUGUGCAAGUUCCAGCCUCUCCUCCAGUGGCUCCUCUCUUUGGCAGCCACCAUCAGCCAUCCAGAAGCAGCUGAAGACAGGCAUUCCCCAGGGCCUAGGCCCUGGGAGGGGAGGUGCGGCCCUGCCCAGGGCAGAACAAGGCCCAAUGGUGGGAAAAGCCAACCAGAGGACACUUCCCCUUCCAGCUGCUCUUGCCAAGUCACCUGAGCUACCACAGCCCUCCUACAGCAGCCAGAAGACACCCAAGGCAGCCCCCGAGGCCCAACUGUAAAUACUGUAUAUGAAGCUCUGGUGGGUCCUGCUUCCCUCUUUCCACCCCAGACUUGGCCUCUGAAUUGUCUCCCAGCACCUUGGGCUUCUCUCCUUGAUGCUUCUUUCUUUUUUAAAGAAACCCACCAUUGCCACAUGACUCAAUAAACCAUUACUCUUCGUCUCAGGCUUUGGGGUUGGCUCCGGGGUGGGGUUGUGCUUCCUC